rnacentral:rRNA from 1 species
AUUGAACGCUGGCGGCAUGCCUUACACAUGCAAGUCGAACGGCAGCACGGGUGCUUGCACCUGGUGGCGAGUGGCGAACGGGUGAGUAAUACAUCGGAACGUACCUUAUCGUGGGGGAUAACGCAGCGAAAGCUGUGCUAAUACCGCAUACGCCCUGAGGGGGAAAGCGGGGGAUCGCAAGACCUCGCGCGAUUAGAGCGGCCGAUGCCUGAUUAGCUUGUUGGUGGGGUAAAAGCCCACCAAGGCGACGAUCAGUAGCUGGUCUGAGAGGACGAUCAGCGACGCAGGAACUGAGAAACGGCCCAGACUCCUACGGGAGGCAGCAGUGGGGAAUUUUGGACAAUGGGGGCAACCCUGAUCCAGCAAUGCCGCGUGAGUGAAGAAGGCCUUCGGGUUGUAAAGCUCUUUUGUCAGGGAAGAAACACCGGCUCUAACACAGUCCGGGAAUGACGGUACCUGAAGAAUAAGCACCGGCUAACUACGUGCCAGCAGCCGCCGUAA